rnacentral:rRNA from 1 species
UACGUCAGCGGCAGACGGGUGAGUAACGCGUGGGAACAUACCUUUUGGUUCGGAACAACACAGGGAAACUUGUGCUAAUACCGAAUAAGCCCUUACGGGGAAAGAUUUAUCGCCGAAAGAUUGGCCCGCGUCUGAUUAGCUUGUUGGUGAGGUAACGGCUCACCAAGGCGACGAUCAGUAGCUGGUCUGAGAGGAUGAUCAGCCACAUUGGGACUGAGACACGGCCCAA